AGUAGUGUCAUAUUAGAUGAUUGUCAUUAUUGUCCUUUUUUUUUAUGAAUGUCAUCUCUGUAGGCCUUUUGGACAAACUUGAUUUUAAGUUUAUAAUAAAAGAUAAUUUUUUUGAUAUCAUUAUGAAUAAUACUGUAAUUAUGCGAGGAUAAUUAAGACAUGGCAUAUACAUAAUAUCAUGGUCUGUUGGUAUAAUGUAUACAUCCAAUAAACACCAUAAAAUAGAUAAUGUCAGUGAAUCCUACCUCUGGCAUUGUAGGCUUGAUCAUAUGAAUAAGAAUAGGAUU
rnacentral:lncRNA from 1 species